rnacentral:rRNA from 1 species
UACGUAGGGGGCGAGCGUUGUCCGGAGUUACUGGGCGUAAAACGCUUGUAGGCGGUCCACCAAGUUUGGGGUGACAGUUGCCGACUUAAUCGGCAAAGUGCCUCAAAGACUGGCGGACUUGAGGGCCACAGAGGGACAUGGAACUCCAGGUGUAGUGGUGAAAUGCGUAGAUAUCUGGAAGAACACCAAAGGCGAAGGCAGUGUCCUGGGUGGUCGCUGACGCUGAGAGGCGAAAGCCAGGGGAGCGAACGGG